AUGGGUGCGGCUGAGGAAGCGGGGCGGCGGAUGGUUCUCUCUCGGUCCGGCGGCUCUCAGUGGGAGACCUAAGGUAGAGAGGAGAAGGAAUUUGGCUUUAACAAUAUCUGCCUUGCGAUUUAUGGAUCUGUCGCCCUGCUUUGUUACCGCUGCAUGUCACGUCGACGCUCCUGAAAUACCGAGGUCUGUGCGAUGUGCGGGAGAGCCGUCCUUGUGCACAACGCCUUGUCCCUCUGUAGCCAACGGAAGGAUGGGAGUACAGGUCAGACAGUCCUGCGCCCCUCGUCUCGAGUCUCAUACCGUGUGGGUCAGGAACCCCCUGCGUGCUGAUCCCGGUGGCUCCGGGAAAGCUGAGGGAGUGUCUUCAUUCUGGAAGCCCUCCAACUGAACCAUCACCCUCAGUGCAUGGAAACCAAGCCACUGCUGCCCAGACCAUCUGUGCUCUCAACCUGCCACCCCAGAACCUGGCACUGGGAUAGGGCUCGGUGAAGGGUUCUUGAAUCAGUGAGGCUGAUACAGCUGAAUCUACUCAGUAGUUCUGGUUUUCUUUCACCAUUUGCAUUAGUGUUCCAUUCAGAGCAAUCUGAAACAAUAGUUAAAAACACCAGAAAGAACUAAGGCAAAAUAAUAAUAAUAAUAAUAAAAUACUGGAAAUCAAGCUUAAGACAAACAAAUCCAAGUUAUUUGUGCUUCUGGCCUAAAUGUUGCUUUCUUAUCUGUGACCCUAUACAAACAUUUCCUGAUGAAUCACCUUCGCUAGCUAACAAGAAUAGUCUCUGAUCUCAGAGUAUCUCCUUUCCCUGUCUCACCUACGUUUGGCCUCAUAAUGACUAUGUCUGAUGUCCUAAGAUGAUUCCUUCUUAGGUAGGCAAAUGCCUGCUGUUAGACAAGAUAAUGAAAGAACAAAAUGUUUGAUUAUUCUGCAGAGAUUACAAAUGACAUCUGUCAUGACGCAACCUUGUUUAUGAAACUCUGGGGGAAGAAUGUAUAAUCUAAAGAAACAUAAGAUAAAUCCUCCAGCUCUGAAUCACACAACUUCAUACUGAAUCUGAGAGCCUCUGUACUUCCCUCUAUCCUUUUUCCUGCUCUGGAUGCUGGCUGUGAUACUGGAAGCACAGCUGAGCUUUCACUGAAGCUCCAGAACACCUUUUGUGCCACCUUUGGAUCUGGCGUGCUCCUUUCAGCACGCUGUCAAACUCUGCACAUGUCACAGAGAGGAACUGCUCACACAUCUUGCCUGCCUGCAGAGGAACAAAUAAUGAUCUACCGUAUGGACUAAUAAGAAGGGGGUCUUGCUUUUGUUGAAGCAGUUUUUUUUCCUGAAAAAGAAGACCCUUUUCCUCUUGCGUAUAAUGAAGGAUUGUAAGUGGAAUGCUGCUUGAUGUCUGGGGUGCUCACUGCUCCUUCUGUUUCUAAGACAGGUAGAAAAGUACGCUGAAAUUGUAAAACUGACUGGUCAUUUUACAGCCAAAGUAAAAAAUCUGACACUGAUGUGCAAGCAAGAUACACUAAGCUAUAAACUAAGUCUGGAAUGCUUUUCCCUUGAGUCCUCUCUAAACUGAGAGAAGUAGUAUAUCAAGGCAAUCUCCAUUCACACUUGCACUGCUGGACCAUCACAAAGCAGCUGAAGAAAACUGGCAAAACUCCCUUCAGAGGUUGCUGACCACAUGGCUGUAAAGAACCUGCAAUGCUAUAUUUAAAAAAGCAAUCAAAUUCAAGUCAGCUCGCUUGUUGUGGGUAUUUUCUGCGAACUGUUUAUUACCAUGCCAAUAUCCCUUUGUUUCCAAUUUUUGCAUAAUAAACCUUUGAAAAUUUAACUCAGCUUCACUGGUGUGUAAGAACUAGACAUGGCAGACAUGGUUCUAUUCAACCACUUCUGAGAAUUAGCUUCAAAAAUCAAAUUAAAAUGAAGCAAACCCAAAUAGACCAGGUAGACCCACACUAAGUUGCCACACCCGUUCAUAUUCAGCAUCCAUCAUCUGUGCCUCUUGCAUUUUACAUUACUAAUAUGAGGUAUCUCUGCGAGUAGCAUUACAGCGCACUUACUACAUAUAGUAAAAGUGAGAAACUCGUUACAUAUACGGCACAUAAAUAUGUUAAGGUUGCAAGGCCUUACUCACAUAAGUGUUCAUACUUAAGUAAAAAUUCUACUUUUUUAUUCAUUUCCAAAGCUAUGAGGAAACUACAAAAUUUUUACCUUAGAGUUUGAGAAAAAGGAGGUGAAGAUGAGAAGUACAACGUUCUCCAAACAUGACUGUGUGCUGUGACUUGCAGAAAUGGCCUACGACUGGUUUUCAUACCUUAACAAACAUUAUUUUUAGUUUUUUCCCAAUCGUAUUUAAAGGUAAAUAUUUAAAUCGAUACAUAUAUAUAUAUAUAAAUAACAUUGAACACAAUAUUUCUCUAAAGAGGUAUUCUAAAGCAAUAUAUGCAAACCUAUUUCUGAGCACUUACAGUAAUGGCUGUAAAGAAGAACAAUACAAAACUGAUGGUUUUAACACGUAACUGCUGAAAUGCAUGCAAAUACAACUUGAUUUACCAAAUUAAAAA